rnacentral:rRNA from 1 species
GGAUGAACGCUGGCGGCGUGCCUAAUACAUGCACGUCGAGCGAACAGACGAGGAGCUUGCUCCUCUGACGUUAGCGGCGGACGGGUGAGUAACACGUGGAUAACCUACCUAUAAGACUGGGAUAACUUCGGGAAACCGGAGCUAAUACCGGAUAAUAUAUUGAACCGCAUGGUUCAAUAGUGAAAGACGGUUUUGCUGUCACUUAUAGAUGGAUCCGCGCCGCAUUAGCUAGUUGGUAAGGUAACGGCUUACCAAGGCAACGAUGCGUAGCCGACCUGAGAGGGUGAUCGGCCACACUGGAACUGAGACACGGUCCAGACUCCUACGGGAGGCAGCAGUAGGGAAUCUUCCGCAAUGGGCGAAAGCCUGACGGAGCAACGCCGCGUGAGUGAUGAAGGUCUUCGGAUCGUAAAACUCUGUUAUUAGGGAAGAACAAAUGUGUAAGUAACUAUGCACGUCUUGACGGUACCUAAUCAGAAAGCCACGGCUAACUACGUG